AACGAACGCUGGCGGCAUGCCUAACACAUGCAAGUCGAACGAGACCAUCGGGACUGGUGGCGCACGGGUGCGUAACGCGGGGGAACCUGCACUUAGGUUCGGAAUAACACUCCGAAAGGGGUGCUAAUACCGGAUAAUGUCUUCGGACAAAAGAUUCGUCGCCCUUGGAUGGGCCCGCGUUGGUUUAGCCAGUUGGGAGGGUAAAAGCCGAUCAAGGCGACGAUCCAUAGCGGGUCUGAGAGGAUGAUCAGCCACACUGGGGCUGGGACACGGCCCAGACUCUUACGGGAGGCAGCAGUGGCGAAUCCUGCACAAUGGGCGGAAGCAUGAUCCAGCUAUGCCGCGUGAGUGAUGAAGGCCUUAGGGUUGUACAGCUCUUUUACCCGGGAUGAUAAUGACAGUACCGGGAGAAUAAGCACCGGCUAACUCCGUG
rnacentral:rRNA from 1 species